GACGAACGCUGGCGGCGUGCUUAACACAUGCCAGUCGAACGGAAAGGCCCUGCUUUUGUGGGGUGCUCGAGUGGCGAACGGGUGAGUAACACGUGAGUAACCUGCCCUUGACUUUGGGAUAACUUCAGGAAACUGGGGCUAAUACCGGAUAGGAGCUCCUGCUGCAUGGUGGGGGUUGGAAAGUUUCGGCGGUUGGGGAUGGACUCGCGGCUUAUCAGCUUGUUGGUGGGGUAGUGGCUUACCAAGGCUUUGACGGGUAGCCGGCCUGAGAGGGUGACCGGCGACAUUGGGACUGCGGUACGCCCCAGAAGCCUACGGGAGGCAGCAGUGGGGAAUAUUGCAGAAUGGGCGGAAGCCUGAUGCAGCAACGCCGCGUGCGGGAUGACGGCCUUCGGGUUGUAAACCGCUUUCGCCUGUGACGAAGCGUGAGUGACGGUAAUGGGUAAAGAAGCACCGGCUAACUACGUG
rnacentral:rRNA from 1 species